GUUAAAUUGAUAAGAAAUAGAAUAUAGAGCAUCGGUUAAUCGAGAAUCGUGAGUGACAUGAUUGUAUUUGGAGCUAUUUGUUUUAUUUUGCUGCAGCAAGCAUUCUCGCAAUGUCUACCGCCAGCUGCGACAUGCAACCUACCGCCGCCACUCAGCCAAUUUCUUCCUAGUAUGGAUUGUCCUGACCUACCUUCGUUGCUGUCUUCUACUAUAUCUGCAUCAUUGUCAUCCGCUCUACCUUCCCUACUUGAAGCUACAUUACCUACUGACUUUACAUCUGCGUUAGAGGCUACGGGCCCGUUAUUGGCUUAUAAUUCACAUAUUUAUCUUCCAUCUACCCCUCCUGUAUGUUCCAGUCUGCCUUAUAAGUCCCCUACUACCUGUUUAUCGUGUAAUCCUCUCGCUUCUUGUGUAUCACAUAAUACCCCUACUCCAGCAUGUAUAUAUUGUAAUUCUCCUCCUUAUCAAGUCCCUUCUUGUGUAACGAGUAAUUCUUGUCAAGCCGUCGUUGCACCUACCUCAUAUGUAUUGAACACUCCUGCGUCUAAUUGUGCUACACCCGCAACAUACAGUGUUUAUUAUGGAUGUUAAUUAAAUUGCUAAGGCGAUGAGAACACAGAAUGCAAAAGAUCUCGUGCACAAGCCAAAUGGACCUAACAAGUGAAAGACUUAUCGUCCUCAAAACUAUACACUGUUAUAAGAGAGGCGCUGGGCAGAAACCAGUGGAAACAGAUUGUCCGCCCCCAUAUUUCUUUGCUGGCCACGACGCUCAGGUAUGAGCUACCGACCGAGAGAGAGAGAUUUAUCGACAUAACUUCGAUUUAUAAAAGAAUGUUUUACCUUGGGUAUAUACCUACUUUUAUCUUAAAUCACUUUCUUAUACUUAUUCUUAAACACACAGUUUGGGAUAUAAAUAAAACUAAGAUAGGUAUAACGAAACUUUAUUGUAAUUGGUUACAGAAUUUAAUACAGAAUUAAAUUCGAAACGUACUCAAGAGCUAGAUACAAAUUGAUUCUGAA